rnacentral:rRNA from 1 species
CAGCCGCCACGGGAAUACAGAGGGUGCGAGCGUUAAUCGUAUUUACUGGGCGUAAAGCGUGCGUAGGCGGCUUCUUAAGUCGGAUGUGAAAUCCCUGAGCUUAACUUAGGAAUUGCAUUCGAUACUGGGAAGCUAGAGUAUGGGAGAGGAUGGUAGAAUUCCAGGUGUAGCGGUGAAAUGCGUAGAGAUCUGGAGGAAUACCGAUGGCGAAGGCAGCCAUCUGGCCUAAUACUGACGCUGAGGUACGAAAGCAUGGGGAGCAAACAGGAUUAGAUACCCCUGUAGUCCCUGUCUCUUAUAC